UAGAUACUCCCUUCGUUCCGAAUUACUUGUCUUGGAUUUGUCUAGAUACGGAUGUAUCUAGACUCAUUUUAGUGCUAGAUACUUCCGUAUCUAGACAAAUCUAAGACAAGUAAUUCAGAACGGAGGGAGUAGUAU
rnacentral:pre_miRNA from 1 species